rnacentral:rRNA from 1 species
GAUGAACGCUGGCGGCGUGCCUAAUACAUGCAAGUCGAGCGAACGGACGAGAAGCUUGCUUCUCUGAUGUUAGCGGCGGACGGGUGAGUAACAUGUGGAUAACCUACCUAUAAGACUGGGAUAACUUCGGGAAACCGGAGCUAAUACCGGAUAAUAUUUUGAACCGCAUGGUUCAAAAGUGAAAGACGGUCUUGCUGUCACUUAUAGAUGGAUCCGCGCUGCAUUAGCUAGUUGGUAGGGUAACGGCUUACCAAGGCAACGAUGCAUAGCCGACCUGAGAGGGUGAUCGGCCACACUGGAACUGAGACACGGUCCAGACUCCUACGGGAGGCAGCAGUAGGGAAUCUUCCGCAAUGGGCGAAAGCCUGACGGAGCAACGCCGCGUGAGUGAUGAAGGUCUUCGGAUCGUAAAACUCUGUUAUUAGGGAAGAACAUAUGUGUAAGUAACUGUGCACAUCUUGACGGUACCUAAUCAGAAAGCCACGGCUAACUACGUG